rnacentral:rRNA from 1 species
UCGCUACUACCGAUUGAAUGGUUUAGUGAGGUUAUUGGAUUUGUUCUAGCGAUGUGUUCGCACGUUGCUGGAGUGAAGAAGAUAAUCGAACUUGAUCAUUUAGAGGAAGUAA